rnacentral:rRNA from 1 species
AGGCAGGGGGCGGGGCAACGGCCCACCAAACCGACGAAGGAGAGGGGAACAGAGAGGAAGGCCCCCCACAGAGGACAGAGACACGGCCCAAACCCCGACGGGAGGCAGCAGUAGGGAAUUUUCGUUCAAUGGGGGAAACCUUGAACGAGCAAUGCCGCGUGAGUGAAGAAGGUCUUCGGAUCGUAAAGCUCUGUUGUAAGUGAAGAACGGCUCAUAGUGGAAAUGCUAUGGGAGUGACGGUAGCUUACCAGAAAGCCACGGCUAACUACGUGCCAGCAGCCGCGGUAAUACGUAGGUGGCAAGCGUUAUCCGGAAUCAUUGGGCGUAAAGGGUGCGUAGGUGGCGUACUAAGUCUGUAGUAAAAGGCAAUGGCUCAACCAUUGUAAGCUAUGGAAACUGGUAUGCUGGAGUGCAGAAGAGGGCGAUGGAAUUCCAUGUGUAGCGGUAAAAUGCGUAGAUAUAUGGAGGAACACCAGUGGCGAAGGCGGUCGCCUGGUCUGUAACUGACACUGAGGCACGAAAGCGUGGGGAAAGGAUAGGAUUAGAUACCCUAGUAGUCCACCCCGUAAAACGAUGAGGAACAUAAGGUGGGAGGAAUUCAGUGCGGCAGUUAACGCAAUAAAGUUCUCCCGCCUGGGGAGUAUGCACGCAAGUGUGAAACUCAAAGGAAUUGGACGGGGGCCCGCACAAGCGGUGGAGUAUGUGGUUUAAUUCGAAGCAACGCGAAGAACCUUACCAGGCCUUGACAUGGAAACAAAUACCCUAAAGAUAGGGGGAUAAUUAUGGAUCACACAGGUGGUGCAUGGUUGUCGUCAGCUCGUGUCGUGAGAUGUUGGGUUAAGUCCCGCAACGAGCGCAACCCUUGUCGCAUGUUACCAGCAUCAAGUUGGGGACUCAUGCGAGACUGCCGGUGACAAACCGGAGGAAGGUGGGGAUGACGUCAAAUCAUCAUGCCCCUUAUGGCCUGGGCUACACACGUACUACAAUGGCGACCACAAAGAGCAGCGACACAGUGAUGUGAAGCGAAUCUCAUAAAGGUCGUCUCAGUUCGGAUUGAAGUCUGCAACUCGACUUCAUGAAGUCGGAAUCGCUAGUAAUCGCAGAUCAGCAUGCUGCGGUGAAUACGUUCUCGGGCCUUGCACAAACCGCCCGUC